rnacentral:rRNA from 1 species
CCUACGGGUGGCAGCAGUGAGGAAUAUUGGUCAAUGGGCGAGAGCCUGAACCAGCCAAGUCGCGUGAAGGAUGACGGCCCUACGGGUUGUAAACUUCUUUUGUCAGGGAGCAAUUGGGUCCACGCGUGGGCUUAGCGAGAGUACCUGAAGAAAAAGCAUCGGCUAACUCCGUGCCAGCAGCCGCGGUAAUACGGAGGAUGCGAGCGUUAUCCGGAUUGAUUGGGUUUAAAGGGUGCGUAGGCGGAAUAUCAAGUCAGCGGUAAAAAUUCGGGGCUCAACCCCAUCCAGCCGUUGAAACUGGGGAUCUAGAGUGUGCGAGAGGUAUGCGGAAUGCGUGGUGUAGCGGUGAAAUGCAUAGAUAUCACGCAGAACCCCGAUUGCGAAGGCAGCAUACCGGUGCACAACUGACGCUCAGGCACGAAAGCGUGGGUAUCGAACAGGAUUAGAUUCCCGAGUAGUC